ACUGGAAGCAGGCGGCUGCCACAAAUCCCUGCCCCUGGCGUCCAAACUGAUGCACCGGGGAAAAGGAGGGGUGUAUCCCGUCUUUCUGUAGUACUGUUUUAACUUAAUUAUCUUGUAAUUUACUUAAAGCUCAAAACUCUCUUCUUCCCCAGCAGCGUCCUGGCAUAGAAGGUGAUCCCGGGGCGUGGGAUGGCAGGUGAGUGACACAGGUCCUAGGGUCCUUCAUUGGGCUGAGAAUUUGGUUGGUUUUGUGGCCUCCCUGGGCCAGAGAAGGAACCAGCUCUCUGUUUCCUGCCCUCUGCUGUCGGGUCGUGCCAGCAUGUGCUGUUCCAAGGCUGUGCAUUCUUCAUAGGGCUUGUCCUUGGCAUUUGGCCCCGCAGACUCCCUUAGUUCUUGCUCCAUCCAGGUCAUGUAUGGGUGAGAUAAGGGCAGUUCCUCUUUCUGGGGCUUGCUAGAGGCAGAAUUGGGAAUCAAGCCUGAUCCAGAGUCAGUCGAUCAUUCUGUCACAGAUGUAAUUGGUUAAACUCUACGUUUACCUGCAUGUUUAUCCAAGAGCUGUGGCUCCAGACAGUAGCUGCAGGUCUCCAACAACAUGCCAGAGCAAUGGGAAGGUCUUUGAUUGCUGGGCCUCUUCUGCCCAUGACUGUCACUCACCCCUCCAAUACAUUUGUGGGAAUUGGGCUGUUGCUUGCUCGUUCAGGAUGGAAUGAGUCAAAGGUGUGUCCACAAGAGUUCAGCCCACUGCUGGUGUUAGGGGUAUGUUGUGAUGUUUUUCAGGGGUCCUGGGUGUUCCAGAGCUCACCCAUCUGAUGGAGAAACCCAGGUGAGAAGGCAGUACCCUUGUUGGAUCUCCACAGCCCAUCCCUCCAAAUCCCUUUCCCAUCAGAUCUGAAUACCGAUCUUGUGGUCGAAAAAGGAGGAAGAGUAAAAUUCAUGCUGGUCUUGGGCUCUCUGCAAGUGUGUCUUGUGCUGAGAGGGGCCACUAGGAAGACAGGCUGCACCGGCCUCCCUGGGUUGGGAAGGAAACUCCUGGUCAGGAGAAGGGAUAAACAUAGGGGGCAGGGGUGCCAUAAGGGUUGGAGGACUGGGAUUUGUUGGGUAUAUUUGAGCCAUGUAUUUACAGUGACCCAUCAGCUUCAGGUACUAAACUCUGGCUCUAUUUUUUCAGCAGUUACUCUGUGGGAAAAGGUGAGAACCUUUGAGCCCUGUCCCAAGGGCUUCAGCUUGCUUCCCAUGGGACCUGAGUUGUGGGGAAGCUGCAGUAUGGAGCCUGUCUAAGCAGAGGGUGAGCCAUCCCUGAGGGACUGCGUGCUGCGGUGCCAGACUGUUCUUUCCCAGCCUUCUCCUCCAGAAGUGGGAGCUCUGCAGAUCCUGGCUCCUUCCUGAGCAAUGAGCUCCACCAGGUGGGUUCAGCCUCCUCUGGGCUCCGCUCUUCUGCAGUGGAAGGAGAUGGAACUGGUUUGGCCCCAGCUGUUGCACAAGCUCCCAUUCACAUGCUCCACAUGGAAGAACAGUUCUCAGGAGGGGUCUGGAUAUCAAAUACUUGGAUAUAGCAGGGACCUAGUAAUGCCAAGGUGGGUGGUGGAUUUGAUCCCUGUAUGGGCCAUUCACUUAAGAACUGGACUCUCUGAUCCCUGUGGGUCCCUUCCUACUUGAAAUAUUGUGUGUGUGUGAUACAAGUUUGAAUAAACGCAAUUACUUUUAAUCCUUGUGUCUCCCGCGUUUGAGUUGCUUUGGGGUAAGGUGAGGCUGGGCUGGCUCUGAGCCAGGAAGCCUGAGCAUCUUCCAGUGGAGCUCACCAGUGCUCAGUGGCAAGUUCCUGUGCUUGCUGCAGUACUCAUCAAGGUUCCCUGGAAUGCAAAAACACACCAAACACACCUGGGCCUUAAUGGAGAUACUAGAGUAGCUCCUGCAAUCUUGUGUUCUAACACUCUCAGCUGGAGCCUUGGUAAUUCUGGUUGCCUGUUUUCUCACCAUGAAGAAAAGGUCAUGCCACAGCCUCUGAGUCAGAGCCACUCUUACUUCUGGCCCUGGAUUUGUUCAGCUGUGGUGACGUCCUGACGUCCCUGAAUCUGAGGUAACCUGGCCGCCAAGAGUACUUUGUCCUGGAAUAUUGAGCCGGUGCCUCUGACCCCCUCUGGUCUCCUACCUGCAGGCCUUGAGAGCCACUUCCCUGUGGAGUGUCUCCCAGCUCUCCCAGGAUCUUGGCUUCUGGGGGACACCGGUGAAUCUGUGUGCUCACAGCUUGCUGUCCCUGUUGACACCAAAGCCAGGCAGGGGAGGCAGCUGGCCUGUGGCAACACUAAACAACAUCCUGGUGUCAGCAAAGGAAGACUAAAUGAGUGCCAGAAUGUUACAAGGAAGUGAUUAGAGCUGAAACUGUUGCUGCUAAAGUUUGAAAUGGUGGGCUGUUGCUACGGUUUGUGUUUUGGAGUUCGGUGACUGGGAAGCAGGCAGAUGGGAAAAAUACAGUUUUAAAAACAGGGCAGUUAGAAAGGCAUCGGUGAUUUUCCUAGGUGGUUAAAAGAGCUAUGCAGCAG
rnacentral:lncRNA from 1 species